rnacentral:rRNA from 1 species
UACGUAGGGUGCAAGCGUUGUCCGGAAUUAUUGGGCGUAAAGAGCUCGUAGGCGGUUUGUUGCGUCGGCUGUGAAAUCCCGAGGCUCAACCUCGGGUCUGCAGUCGAUACGAGUAAACUAGAGUGUUGCAGGGGAGACUGGAAUUCCUGGUGUAGCGGUGAAAUGCGCAGAUAUCAGGAGGAACACCGGUGGCGAAGGCGGGUCUCUGGGCAACAACUGACGCUGAGGAGCGAAAGCGUGGGUAGCAAACAGG